UACAUAGGUGGCAAGCGUUAUCCGGAAUUAUUGGGCGUAAAGAGCGCGCAGGUGGUUGAUUAAGUCUGAUGUGAAAGCCCACGGCUUAACCGUGGAGGGUCAUUGGAAACUGGUAGACUUGAGUGCAGAAGAGGGAAGUGGAAUUCCAUGUGUAGCGGUGAAAUGCGUAGAGAUAUGGAGGAACACCAGUGGCGAAGGCGGCUUCCUGGUCUGUAACUGACACUGAGGCGCGAAAGCGUGGGGAGCAAACAGGAUUAGA
rnacentral:rRNA from 1 species